rnacentral:tRNA from 1 species
GCCGUCAUGGCUGAGUGGUUAGGCGUCGGACUGCAAAUCCGGCUUAUCCCAGUUCGAUUCUGGGUGGCGGCUCCG